UCGAGCGAGACCUUCGGGUCUAGCGGCGGACGGGUUAGUAACGCGUGGGAACGUGCCCUUCUCUGCGGAAUAGCCACUGGAAACGGUGAGUAAUACCGCAUACGCCCUUCGGGGGAAAGAUUUAUCGGAGAAGGAUCGGCCCGCGUUAGAUUAGAUAGUUGGUGGGGUAAUGGCCUACCAAGUCUACGAUCUAUAGCUGGUUUUAGAGGAUGAUCAGCAACACUGGGACUGAGACACGGCCCAGACUCCUACGGGAGGCAGCAGUGGGGAAUCUUAGACAAUGGGCGCAAGCCUGAUCUAGCCAUGCCGCGUGUGUGAUGAAGGUCUUAGGAUCGUAAAGCACUUUCGCCAGGGAUGAUAAUGACAGUACCUGGUAAAGAAACCCCGGCUAACUCCGUGCCAGCAGCCGCGGUAAUACGGAGGGGGUUAGCGUUGUUCGGAAUUACUGGGCG
rnacentral:rRNA from 1 species